rnacentral:rRNA from 1 species
AUUGAACGCUGGCGGCAGGCCUAACACAUGCAAGUCGAACGAGUGGCGGACGGGUGAGUAAUGUCUGGGAAACUGCCUGUUGGAGGGGGAUAACUACUGGAAACGGUAGCUAAUACCGCAUACCAUCAGAUGUGCCCAGAUGGGAUUCGCUUGUUGGUGGGGUAACGGCUCACCAAGGCGACGAUCCCUAGCUGGUCUGAGAGGAUGACCAGCCACACUGGAACUGGAGCACGGGCCAGACUCCUACGGGAGGCAGCAGUGGGGAAUAUUGCACAAUGGGCGAAAGCCUGAGACAGCCAUGCCGCGUGUGUGAAGAAGGCCUUCGGGUUGUAAAGUACGUGCAGCGGGGAGGCGUUACCCGCAGAAGAAGCACCGGCUAACUCCGUGCCAGCAGCCGCGGUAAUUC